CCGACGUCUGGCGCCGGAGCAGGAGACGAUGUGUCGCGCCGCCAUAAACAGCCACGCACGGCUGGAGCCGCCGCAGCGUCCUCCAGCAGACGAGAGAGCCUCUCCUCGCUCCCCUCCCCUGAAGCUAGAGCCUGGCGGCAAUGAGCUAGAGGCACCACCUGAGCACCGGACGGAGGAGGCCAGCCGGUCGAGGAAAAAUUGAUGAUAACACCCCCUUCCUUCACCCUGCGUCUCACCUCUUUCUCUGGCAGCAGCGGCAAACGACGCAAGGACGGGGACGGCCGCGUUGACAACAGGACCGGCAGCGACGCCAGUGGUUUUCCAGUUUGGUGCGCAUGUACUCCCUCCUCCACUCUAUGCCUCUCCCGUCUCGCCUCCCCUCUGCUUCUGUCAAUUUCAGGCAGCAGCGAUGUUGCAGGGGUGAGGAGUAGUUGGUGCCCUUCUCGAACAUAGCUACCUGGGUCUUGGACAUCAGAUUUCCAUCGCGUUGUAUAUAAACCCUGGCCUUGGUGCGUCGUGAUGGAGUUCUACGACACUGCCGACAAUGGGGUUCAUGGAGCAGCUACGCUUGGCUGUCGAUUUUCUAGGCUGAGGAGGCAGGCAAGGUCUCCGUGGUAGUAUCCAUCUAGGGUCCACGUGAAGAGCAGGGCUUCACGAUGACACAGACUUCUAGGAGCACUGGAGGCAACAGGAACAAUCGAUUUGAGAGGUUUCAUGGAGUUGCUCUGCUGCAAUUUUUUAACAGUUUGGACAGAUAGGUUUGGUUCAGCCACAAUUUUUUUAUUUCCUUCGACUGAUUGGUUUGCAUGUUCAUGUGGUGCCCCUAAUGCUAUUACUCUAAAUUAAACAGGUAAGGACCCAUUUUCUUUACAAGAAAAUUGCAGGAGCAUAUCAUUAGUAUAGAAACUAUAAUUUCUUGCGUGGUUAGACCAGACUGUAACUAAUAUCUAUCUCAUGUAGCUUUAUUAUAUGUAUAUAUGUGUGAAAGCCUAGAAUAAUGUACCAACUUCUAUACAAUAAUAGUUUUGGAAAAGAAAGAUAUAUAUACAACGGUAAAUGUACUAUUUAAUACGCGCUUCUUCAAUUCUAGCUAAAAGUUGCAUAAUUCUAGAAAAUAGAUCUACUUAAGUGAUGUAGACCAUUUUAGAAAUAAUAAAACCAUUACUCAAUGCAGUUGUUCUCUUUUUUCUACGUAUCUCAUAUUAACCAGUUGAAUCUGUGUUUGCCCAUUGACUGAUGAUGUAUUGUAUUACACUGGUUUAUCAAAAACAUUCUAGAUGGUAUAUACUCAUGUUUGUGUUUGCAUGCGUUCUUUUCCAUCUCUUGCUGUUGGAGUUCCAUCAUGACUGCAGGAACUGUAAGAUGGUAUAUUAAUGCCAAGAAAAUUAUGUUAAGAGUGGUUAGUGGUCAAUUCAUAUUAGAGUGGUUAGUGAUGUAUUUUUUUUUUGAACAAAGUUAGUGAUGUAUCAGGAUAGCAUAAAAUCCAUACAUUGAUCGGUCAGCUGCCAAGAACUCUCAGGAUCUCUCAGGCUUCAGUAGCCUAAGACUGUAGAUCACUAGAAAGAGAAGAAACUCAAUGCUAUUAUGUCUUGGCCAUUCCAGUUUCUUUAUACUCAUUGUACUAGGUACCUAGGCCAUGUUAGAGACCAUUGAAGAGCUGUCAUGUGACCUCUAUCCUCUUCUGCAAUCUUCUGGUUGAGGUAAAAAUGCCCUAAUGCUCACACUUCAGAAACAUUGUUUCCAUGUGUGAUCUUUAGUACAUAUUAGAGGAAGGUGGAAACAGGGUGCUCAAAAUAAAUCUGUUUAUUCCUAUAUUUCUCUCUUUGAAUGUGAUUUCCUAUUGCAGCCCAUUCACUUUUCGUUGCUCUUUCUCCUGGUAGGAGACUUGUGAGUGCUACUGCGAGUGGAAAUGUGGUGCAGUGGCUGGGAGAGAGUCAUGAGGUGAUUGGGUGGACUCCUAACACUGCACAAUCUGUCUAAUGGACACCCCUUGCUUAUUGUCUCCAACCACCUCUGUAUUGUAGAUAUAGGUUUAGUUUUGUAGUAACAUAGUUAAUCUUGCCUUUCUGUAAUAUAAGAGUUUUUUGUCCAACAAGAGUGAAAAAGUGGCAUGAACAAUCUUCCAUAUUUUAGCCCGACAGAAGAAAGAUGGAGUAACUAAUGUGUUGUUCUUAGUAGAAUCAUCUUCCUGAUAUAUAUUCAAAACUCCAAGCCAUAUAUAUUCCUGACACAUGGACUUACAGGUCUGAUUACUGAACUUUACAAGUUUCAACUGUGCUGAGCUUAUUUGCUUCCAAUUCUUUAGCCUUUAGUAAUUGAUCUCAACUCUGCGGUUGCUAUUAUUUCAGGAUAACAACUUGAGGCUGAAGGACAACAAUAGACACAUGAGACUUUUAGUUUUUUUCAACACUUUGGCGUCUGUACAUCAGUGAAUUCUUGAUCUGGACAAAUAACAAUGAACAUUAAUAGUUCUGACCUGAACCUUUACCGACCCUCUCUGGUCAUCCAACAAGUACGUGAAGGAAAUCUACAGAACUCCAAGAGAUCCCAGGUUGUGGAACCAAGCUCAUGGCCUUGGUGCAGUUCCCGCAAUGUAUGGAGCAGAUGAGAAUAGAGCCACCUGACUUAUGAUCCCAUGCUUCUCUUCAAACCUAGAGUGGUACGGGUAGUUGUUAACCGGAUCCCUGAGCACGGGAUAUUCCUCUUGGGCCACCUCUUUAUCAAACUUUAAAGCCGAAGUCCAUGACCUCAUAUUUUUUAAGGGUUCAUAUAUAAUUACUGUAUCAUAUUCUUUUGUGGGUUGGCAUUCUCUCGCAGCAGAGGUGUUUGUCUUGGUAAAUGUAGUCGUAUGGUGAUAUCCUAUUGUCGUGAACAGUUAGGAUCCUGACACUGGCUUAAUAUAGAUUGUAGCUGUGUGAACAUUUCUAUUUUGUCAUUGACAUUGUAAUCAUGAUUCAUGCAUUACGUUCUACUCUGUUUGAAAUA